rnacentral:rRNA from 1 species
UGGGGAAUUUUGGACAAUGGGCGAAAGCCUGAUCCAGCAAUGCCGCGUGUGUGAAGAAGGCCUUCGGGUUGUAAAGCACUUUUGUCCGGAAAGAAAUCCUUGGCUCUAAUACAGUCGGGGGAUGACGGUACCGGAAGAAUAAGCACCGGCUAACUACGUGCCAGCAGCCGCGGUAAUACGUAGGGUGCAAGCGUUAAUCGGAAUUACUGGGCGUAAAGCGUGCGCAGGCGGUUUGCUAAGACCGAUGUGAAAUCCCCGGGCUCAACCUGGGAACUGCAUUGGUGACUGGCAGGCUAGAGUAUGGCAGAGGGGGGUAGAAUUCCACGUGUAGCAGUGAAAUGCGUAGAGAUGUGGAGGAAUACCGAUGGCGAAGGCAGCCCCCCUGGGGCCAAAUACUGACGCUCAUGCACGAAAGCGUGGGGGAGCAAACAGGAUUAGAUACCCUGGUAGUCCACGCCCUAAACGAUGUCAACUAGUUGUUGGGGAUUCAUUUCCUUAGUAACGUAGCUAACGCGUGAAGUUGACCGCCUGGGGAGUACGGUCGCAAGAUUAAAACUCAAAGGAAUUGACGGGGUCAUAGCUGUUUCCU